AGGGUGCUCAAAGAAGUCUGCCACUUCCAACUGGGUGAUGUCAAAAUUAUUGUCAGAGACAAAAUUGGUUUCAGGGCCUUUACUCUUUAGAGAUGCUUGAUAAAGCUCAAGCAAAUGUCUUGGUACACGAUAAAUUUUUUGCCCAGUGCCCUUUUCCACCGCAACGAUAACGAUAACAAAUUCGUGCUUGUGGCAGAGUGACCAACUUUAAGUUGUCAUAUCUCUCCUUUAAUCCAUUCCACAAGAUAAGUGGAUCUUUGACUGUGAGAUAUUCAAUUUUCAAACCUUCAUCAAGGUGAUGGCGCAA
rnacentral:lncRNA from 1 species